rnacentral:rRNA from 1 species
UACGAAGGGGGCUAGCGUUGCUCGGAAUCACUGGGCGUAAAGGGUGCGUAGGCGGGUCUUUAAGUCAGGGGUGAAAUCCUGGAGCUCAACUCCAGAACUGCCUUUGAUACUGAAGAUCUUGAGUGCGGGAGAGGUGAGUGGAACUGCGAGUGUAGAGGUGAAAUUCGUAGAUAUUCGCAAGAACACCAGUGGCGAAGGCGGCUCACUGGCGCGAUACUGACGCUGAGGUGCGAAAGCGUGGGGAGCAAACAGG